rnacentral:rRNA from 1 species
GAGUUUGAUCGUGGCUCAGAUUGAACGCUGGCGGCAUGCCUUACACAUGCAAGUCGAACGGCAGCACGGGAGCUUGCUCCUGGUGGCGAGUGGCGAACGGGUGAGUAAUGCAUCGGAACGUAUCCUGGAGUGGGGGAUAACGUAGCGAAAGUUGCGCUAAUACCGCAUAUUCUGUGAGCAGGAAAGCGGGGGGCCUUCGGGCCUCGCGCUCUUGGAGCGGCCGAUGUCGGAUUAGCUAGUUGGUGAGGUAAAGGCUCACCAAGGCGACGAUCCGUAGCAGGUCUGAGAGGAUGAUCUGCCACACUGGAACUGAGACACGGUCCAGACUCCUACGGGAGGCAGCAGUGGGGAAUUUUGGACAAUGGGGGCAACCCUGAUCCAGCCAUGCCGCGUGAGUGAGAAGGCCU